rnacentral:rRNA from 1 species
UAGGAACCAGGAUUAGAUACCCUGUUACUUAUAAUAAAUAUAGCUUGGAGUAUUAGUAAUAAUGAAAUUUAACGGAUUUGGCGGCAAGACAGACCAUUUAGAGGAACCUGCCCUGUAAACGAUGAUCCACGAGAUAUAUUACUCUUAAUAGUAAACAGUUUGUAUACCGCUGUUGACAGUUAGUUUUUUUAGAAAACUUUCAUAAAUGAGAUAUUCAUUGACUUCAAGUAAAGGUGCAGCUAAUAUAAGAGAAAGAGGUGGGUUACAAUUAAUUAGAUUAAAACGAAUAAAAAUGUGAGAUAAUUUUUUGAAGGUGGAUUUAAUAGUAAAACUUUUAUAAGUUUGAUAAGAGCACUGUUUUGUGUACACACCGCCCGUCGCUCUCUUAUUUAAA